rnacentral:lncRNA from 1 species
CGGGGACCGCCUUGCCCGUGAACUUGCGCACCGGCUCCUCUCUGCAGGGAGGGGUGCAGUGAGGCGCAGGGCCCACUGCCCACGCGGGAGCAUGGCGCCGAGGGGUGGGCGGGCAGGCAGGCACUUAAUGAGCAGCCUCCCCCAAGCCAGAGAUGCUCACUCAGCCCAACACGCAGUCCCCAGAUGCCUUCCUAAGGGUCCACGUAACGGUGGAGGCCCCGGGACAACAGCCAUACUCACGCCACCCGCAGGAAGGGGUUGUAGAGGCGCUCCUCGCCCAGAGUCGACGGCACUGUGGGCACGUCAUCCUCAUCCCUCUUCUGGAGUGACCACAGGCCCCGGUCACCAUUAGGCCUUGUCUGAGAGGCCCCCCACCUCCGAAGCCUGUUCCCUCCCCCCCAACCCUCUUGCCGCGGCGGGAAAGGGGCCGUGCCUUAGCCCAGGACAGCUUGGCUCUCACGUGGUCGUUGCAGGGCUCCACUUUCUGGGCAAACUCCAGGUUGCUGAGCGUGUGCUCGUGGCCGCAGAACACCUUCUGGAGGAAGAGCGCUCGGUGAGCGCGCACGCGGCCAGGAAGCGGGGAAAGUGCUUGCGCCGGGGGCCUGGCCUCCCCUGCCCGGUCUGCCCUCAGGAAGUAGCUCAUGUGGCCGCCGGUGUGGCCGGGCGUCAGGAGGCAACGCACGUGGAUGGCCCCGAACUGCGGCGGAGGAGCAGGCGGACCUGUGAGGGCGGGUGGACCCGGGGCGCCC